UGCCGGCGACCGGCGGACGGGUGCGUAACGCGUAUGUAACCUACCUUUGACAGGGGGAUAACAUCGAGAAAUUGGUACUAAUACCCCAUAACAUCACCGGAGGCAUCUUCGGUGGUUGAAAACUCAGGUGGUCAGAGAUGGACAUGCGUUGUAUUAGCUAGUUGGUGAGGUAACGGCUCACCAAGGCGACGAUACAUAGGGGGACUGAGAGGUCAACCCCCCCCCCCACAUUGGUACUGAGACACGGACCAAACUCCUACGGGAGGCAGCAG
rnacentral:rRNA from 1 species